rnacentral:rRNA from 1 species
UACGUAGGGGCUAGCGUUGUCCGGAAUCAUUGGCGUAAAGAGCGUGUAGGCGGUCCGGUAAGUCCGCUGUGAAAGUCGGGGGCUCAACCCUCGAAUGCCGGUGGAUACUGUCGGGCUAGAGUGCGGAAGAGGCGAGUGGAAUUCCUGGGUGUAGCGGUGAAAUGCGCAGAUAUCAGGAGGAACACCUAUUGCGAAGGCAGCUCGCUGGGACGUAACUGACGCUGGAGACGCGAAAGCGUGGGGAGCAAACACGG